GUUUGCACUUGUCGGGGAAGGGUGAGAACCUUCGAUUAAGGUUCGACUCGAGCGAAAGAACGUUGCCAACGGUAACGGCCCGUAG
rnacentral:sRNA from 2 species